UGUUCACUUUGGGAACACAUUACUAAAUUUGGAACAAUACAGAGAUUAGCAUGGCCCCUGCGCAAGGAUGACACGCAAAUUCCUGAAGUGUUCCGUAUUUUU